rnacentral:rRNA from 1 species
AAUGCCUAGGAAUCUGCCUGGUAGUGGGGGAUCACGUUCGGAAACGGACGCUAAUACCGCAUACGUCCUACGGGAGAAAGCAGGGGACCUUCGGGCCUUGCGCUAUCAGAUGAGCCUAGGUCGGAUUAGCUAGUUGGUGAGGUAAUGGCUCACCAAGGCGACGAUCCGUAACUGGUCUGAGAGGAUGAUCAGUCACACUGGAACUGAGACACGGUCCAGACUCCUACGGGAGGCAGCAGUGGGGAAUAUUGGACAAUGGGCGAAAGCCUGAUCCAGCCAUGCCGCGUGUGUGAAGAAGGUCUUCGGAUUGUAAAGCACUUUAAGUUGGGAGGAAGGGUUGUAGAUUAAUACUCUGCAAUUUUGACGUUACCGACAGAAUAAGCACCGGCUAACUCUGUGCCAGCAGCCGCGGUAAUACAGAGGGUGCAAGCGUUAAUCGGAAUUACUGGGCGUAAAGCGCGCGUAGGUGGUUUGUUAAGUUGGAUGUGAAAUCCCCGGGCUCAACCUGGGAACUGCAUUCAAAACUGACUGACUAGAGUAUGGUAGAGGGUGGUGGAAUUUCCUGUGUAGCGGUGAAAUGCGUAGAUAUAGGAAGG